AAGGGAAUUCAUGAGACUCCUCUAUGUCUUUUUGGAUAUAAAAGCUAGCAUGUGUGUCCGUCCGUCCAUUAUGUAUCCCCUGUGUCUGCCUAAGAAGAGCGUGCACGUAUUUUAAUUUGAUAAUAUGAUGAUGAAUUUUUGAAAUAGUUUUAUGUUUUAUCUUGAUUGACUCUGAUUUUAAAAUCAUUUCCAAGUUUGUUGGUCUAGUUUGGUCUUUUGGAUUACGUACAUUUAAAAAAACCACAUAUAAAUCAAUUAGAAAUAUAAGAAACGACGUACGGAUACAACGUGAGGAACAAAUCUACAUCAUAUUGGAGAAGAUAAAGACAAUUUAAUUGUUCGUCAUUCGGCGUUAAUAUGGAUUUGUACAAAAAAGGAAUGGGUCUAACACUAUUUGGAGCCUUAUUCAUUAUCCUGUCAUCCACUUUGGCGAGUAUUUACUCACAUCCGCUGAGGCCUUUAAAUUAUAAAUACUAUCAAAGGUACCCUAAAGGAGAAAUUAUAUAAAGAUGAUCCCUUUCCAACAAAGUUUCAUCGUAGAGACAAGAUCACCCAUCCAUCAAUUUCGAAGCAAUUAUCAAAAUAUAAAGUCUACUCGUCGGGAUCGAAACAGUAAAUUUAAUUAUAGAUGCUGGGAACGAGCAAAUGAUGCCCCAAUAGAUAUAUAUGGUGGUCGUCCAUGUCCCUAUGAAACGUCAUCUCUGAGGUAUAGGUACAUUGAUGAGUUGGGAUUUGACCAAUACUUGAGGGUUUGAUGAAGAAAAAAAAAUAGUGUAGCUACUUACCAAGUCAUACAUUUCCAUUAAUUUAUCCAUAUAUUUAUUUUAUGUCUAACUUGUGUUAUAAAACGUCAUGCAAACUAAAUCAAACCUUAGUUUUGAAUUAUGAAUUAAUUACUAUUUAUUGAUCUACGACAAAAUAUAUCCUAGUCUACAAUAAAAUCUUAAUUAUAAUUUAAUAUACCAAUUAUAAUUUAUAUUUGUGUAAAAAAUAAAUGUUUAUAUUUUUUAAA
rnacentral:lncRNA from 1 species